ACGGAAGGCAGCAGUGGGGGAUAUUGCACAAUGGGGGAAACCCUGAUGCAGCGACGCCGCGUGAGUGAUGAAGUAUUUCGGUAUGUAAAGCUCUAUCAGCAGGGAAGAAAAUGACGGUACCUGACUAAGAAGCACCGGCUAAAUACGUGCCAGCAGCCGCGGUAAUACGUAUGGUGCAAGCGUUAUCCGGAUUUACUGGGUGUAAAGGGAGCGUAGACGGUAAUGCAAGUCAGAAGUGAAAGCCCAAGGCUCAACCAUGGGACUGCUUUUGAAACUGUAAUACUAGAGUGCAGGAGAGGUAAGUGGAAUUCCUAGUGUAGCGGUGAAAUGCGUAGAUAUUAGGAGGAACACCAGUGGCGAAGGCGGCUUACUGGACUGUAACUGACGUUGAGGCUCGAAAGCGUGGGGAGCAAACAGGAUUAGAUACCCUGGUA
rnacentral:rRNA from 1 species